UAGGGUGCAGGCGUUAAUCGGAAUUACUGGGCGUAAAGCUUGCGCAGGCGGUGAUUUAAGUCAGGUGUGAAAUCCCCGGGCUUAACCUGGGAACUGCAUUUGUGACUGCAUCGCUGGAGUGCGGCAGAGGGGGAUGGAAUUCCGCGUGUAGCAGUGAAAUGCGUAGAUAUGCGGAGGAACACCGAUGGCGAAGGCAAUCCCCUGGGCCUGCACUGACGCUCAUGCACGAAAGCGUGGGGAGCAAACAGG
rnacentral:rRNA from 1 species